rnacentral:rRNA from 1 species
GUCUACGGCCAUGCCACCCUGAACAAGCCCGAUGUCUGAUCUCCGAAGCUAAGCAGGGUCAGGCGUGGUUAGUACUUGGAUGGGAGACCACUUAGGAAGACCAGGUGCUGUAGGCA